UACGUGGGUGGCAAGCGUUGUCCGGAUUUAUUGGGUUUAAAGGGUGCGUAGGCGGCCCUGUAAGUCAGUGCUGAAAUAUCCCGGCUUAACCGGGAGGGUGGCAUUGAUACUGCGGGGCUAGAGUACAGAUGAGGUAGGCGGAAUUGACGGUGUAGCGGUGAAAUGCGUAGAUAUCAGGAGGAACACCGAUGGCGAAGGCAGGUCUCUGGGCUGACACUGACGCUCAUGCACGAAAGCGUGGGGAGCAAACGGG
rnacentral:rRNA from 1 species